UGUCUCAAUUCAUCUGCAGCAUGAAUCAUGUCCAUGUGUGGUCACUUACUGAGAGCCAGGAGACGAUCAUCUUUCCAGGAAACCUGCAAAUGUGUCUGAGCUGAACAGAAAGAUGGUCGUUCGGAUGUUAAAGAAAGAUGGUCAUCAGUUUUAAGAGAGCUGGAUGUUCUGAUUGAAGAGAGCUGGACGGUCUGAUUGAAGAGAGCUGAAUGGUCGGUCGGGAAAGUGACGGUCGGUCGGGAAAGUGACCGUCGGUCGGGAAAGUGACCGUCGGUCGGGAAAGUGACCGUCGGUCGGGAAAGUGACGGUCGGUCGGGAAAGUGACCGUCGGUCGGGAAAGAAACGAAACUCAGAAUGUGCAAGUUCAAAAUACAAGAGCUACUCCUAAUGAGGACAUUCUACCGUCUCGAUUUCCACCUGACAGGGUAACUGAUACUCCUGCGUCUCCAACUGACAGGCUAAGGGAUACCAUGAUCAGGACAUUCUGUCAUCUCAAUCUCCAGCCGACAGGUUCACAACUGACCAAGACAGUCUUCCAGCUGAAAGGCUGACAGGUCGGUCCAGGCUGACUUUGGUCCUAGCUGUCAUCUUCUUCGUAACCGCUGUAGCUGCCGCUGGUCUCAUCUUUGACCGACAGAAACUGAAGAGAUUGUGUAUCAGACCUAUCCAGCCUCUCCCAACAUAAAUACCCAGAGUCAAUGUAGGACUGUAACAGGGCUGUAAGAGUGCUGCUGCAGAACUGGGAACACGCUGUUGCAGGACUGUUAUAGUCGUGCUGCUUUUUCUUCAUACCAGAAAACACAUUCAUAAGGAAGAUGGUGUACACUGGCAGUUUACUCCAUGU